CUCGGCAGGAGGCAGUUCAGCUGUCACAUGAGCAGGAUCACGUCACUGUGUGAAGGAGGCGGCUGCCUAGAGGAUCAGCUGUAUCUGCCUUGGAUGGGAGCCGGACACCGAGCAUGGUGGAUAGCGUUCCGGAAGUGGAAUUAGCAUUCAGGAAUGUAUAGAGUCGGAAGUACAAAAAACUCCGGAGUCGGAGUCGGAACAUUUAUCUACCGACUCCACAGCCCUGAAGCCAUCAAAUGGAAAUAUCAUUGGAUUCUCACUGGAAUAAUAAUGUGCUGUCCUGCCUCUCCUGGGUGACAUUUAUCAGCAUUGCAGGAAGAAUGCGUCAUUGUGUUCCAGGGUUCUUCAGGUUCCGAAUACAUAAACGUGUGUUCAGCAUGUAAAUUCCAAAUGUGUUGAUCCAGAAGAAGACAACCCAAAACCCCCAGUGAGCAGCCUGCCAAUAAAAGCUUAUGUAUAGCUUGCCAAUGCCGCCAUUUAUUAAUGCAGCUACCUCAUUUUACAAAAUAAAAUUACCGAAGGACAUGUAAGGAGGCAUAUUGCAGCAAAGGAGCACCAUAUA